rnacentral:rRNA from 1 species
UACGAAGGGUGCAAACGUUGCUCGGAAUCAUUGGGCGUAAAGCGCACGUAGGCGGCUUCGCAAGUCGGAUGUGAAAUCCCUCGGCUCAACCGAGGACGUGCAUCCGAAACUGCGGAGCUUGAGUACUGAAGAGGAUCGCGGAAUUCCCGGUGUAGAGGUGAAAUUCGUAGAUAUCGGGAGGAACACCAGUGGCGAAGGCGGCGAUCUGGGCAGUUACUGACGCUGAGGUGCGAAAGCGUGGGGAGCAAACGGG